rnacentral:rRNA from 1 species
GCUCAAAUUUAAAAUCUGAUGGUCUUUGGCCGUCCGAGUUGUAAUCUAGAGAAGUGUUACCCGCGCUGGACCGUGUACAAGUCUCCUGGAAUGGAGCGUCAUAGAGGGUGAGAAUCCCGUCUCUGACACGGACUACCAGGGCUUUGUGGUAUGCUCUCAAAGAGUCGAGUUGUUUGGGAAUGCAGCUCAAAAUGGGUGGUAAAUUCCAUCUAAAGCUAAAUAUUGGCGAGAGACCGAUAGCGAACAAGUACCGUGAGGGAAAGAUGAAAAGAACUUUGGAAAGAGAGUUAAACAGUACGUGAAAUUGCUGAAAGGGAAACGCUUGAAGUCAGUCGCGUUGGCCGGGGAUCAGCUUCGCAUUUGCGUGGUGUACUUUCCGGUUGACGGGUCAGCAUCAAUUUUGACCGCUGGAAAAAGGCGGGGGGAAUGUGGCAGCUCCGGCUGUGUUAUAGCCCCUUGUCGUAUACAGUGAUUGGGAUUGAGGAACUCAGCACGCCGCAAGGCCGGGUUUCGACCACGUUCGUGCUUAGGAUGCUGGCAUAAUGGCUUUAAGCGACCCGUCUUGAAACACGGACCAAGGAGUCUAACAUGCCUGCGAGUGUUUGGGUGGAAAACUCGAGCGCGCAAUGAAAGUGAAAGUUGAGAUCCCUGUCGCGGGGAGCAUCGACGCCCGGACCAGAACUUUUGGGACGGAUCCGCGGUAGAGCAUGUAUGUUGGGACCCGAAAGAUGGUGAACUAUGCCUGAAUAGGGUGAAGCCAGAGGAAACUCUGGUGGAGGCUCGUAGCGAUUCUGACGUGCAAAUCGAUCGUCAAAUUUGGGUAUAGGGGCGAAAG